AGCGAACGCUGGCGGCAGGCCUAACACAUGCAAGUCGAACGAAGUCUUCGGACUUAGUGGCGGACGGGUGAGUAACACGUGGGAACGUGCCUUUAGGUUCGGAAUAACUCAGGGCAACUUGUGCUAAUACCGAAUGUGCCCUUCGGGGGAAAGAUUUAUCGCCUUUAGAUCGGCCCGCGGCUGAUUAGCUAGUUGUUGAGGUAAAGGCUCACCAAGGCGACGAUCAGUAGCUGGUCUGAGAGGAUAAUCAGCCACAUUGGGACUGAGACACGGCACAAACUCCGACGGGAGGCAGCAGUGGGGAAUCUUGCGCAAUGGGCGAAAGCCUGACGCAGCCAUGCCGCGUGAAUGAGGAAGGUCUUAGGAUUGUAAAAUUCUUUCACCGGGGACGAUAAUGACGGUACCCGGAGAAGAAGCCCCGGCUAACUUCGUGCCAGCCGCCGCCGUAACAC
rnacentral:rRNA from 1 species